UUAAAUCAACACCCGAACAGAUAAAAAAGAGAGUUCUCUGCGCAUCUGCAGACCACAACAAUCCGGUGCAACCAAGGCAGGACAAAAACGGUAUAAAGUAACAAAAAAUAGCCGGUGCAACACAGAUGUCUUCUUACUUGAUAGUUUUAUUACAGGUCCUUGUACUCUGAUGCAGAUGUAACUCUACAUCGAAACGUUAGUCACUGUUUUGCACCUUAAGUAAUAAAACUAUCAAGUAAGAAGACAUCUGUGUUGCACCGG